rnacentral:tRNA from 1 species
GCCGGCGUGUCGGAACUGGCAGACGAAGCAGACUCAAAAUCUGCCGGCCGCAAGGUCGUAUGGGUUCGAGUCCCAUCGCCGGCA